rnacentral:lncRNA from 1 species
CCAUCUAGAUGGGAGGUGCAGGGUGGGUGGAUGAACUAUAGUGCUGGCUGGCAGAGGGCAGGGUGUAGAGCGGUAUUGGGGUUCACUUUGGAAAACAAAAUUUGAUAGUAGGAUUUGAUGGUUCUUUGGAGAAGGGAACAUAUAAAAGGUAGGGUCUUGCUAAGUUGCCCAGGCUGGCCUCAAAUGUUUGAUCUUCCUGCCUCAGCCUCUUUGGUGCUAGGAUUACAGGUUGUCCUGGAACUCACUGUGUAACCCAGGCAGGACUUGAACUUGUGAUCCUCCCACCUGCCUCCUGAUUACAAGAAUUACCUGGGAUUAUAGACUUGCGGCUACAGCAGAUUUCUGGCUCAAGCUGACCCCAAGAUGCCAGUGUGCAGACUUCUGAGACAACCAGGUCCCUCAGGAGCCAUCAUUCACAGCUGUGCAAAGGCUGGUGGGCACAGCUGGGAUGGUAGGUGGUUGUCUCCCAUCAGCAAGAGUUUAUGGAAGAGAUCUUGUCUGCAAGAGGAGGAGGAGAAAAAAGGCAGAGGAAUCCCUCACUUCAAAUGAGGUUAUGGAGAUGCGUAAAAUGUGGGCAACAGUGCAAAAUUUUGUGGAAAAACACCACCCGAAUAAAGCUGUAGCAGUGCGAG